rnacentral:rRNA from 1 species
GACGAACGCUGGCGGCGUGCUUAACACAUGCAAGUCGAACGCUGAAGCUCAGCUUUUGUUGGGUGGAUGAGUGGCGAACGGGUGAGUAACACGUGAGUAACCUGCCCCCUUCUUUGGGAUAACGCCCGGAAACGGGUGCUAAUACUGGAUAUUCACUGGUCUUCGCAUGGGGGUUGGUGGAAAGGGUUUUUCUGGUGGGGGAUGGGCUCGCGGCCUAUCAGCUUGUUGGUGGGGUGAUGGCCUACCAAGGCUUUGACGGGUAGCCGGCCUGAGAGGGUGACCGGUCACAGUGGGACUGAGAUACGGCCGAGACUGCGACGGGAGGCAGCAGUGGGGAAGAGGGCACAAUGGGCGCAAGCGUGAUGCAGCGACGCGGCGGGAGGGAUGGAGGCCUUCGGGUUGUGAACCUCUUUCGCUCAUGGUCAAGCCGCAACAAUGGUUGUGGUGAGGGUAGUGGGUAAAGAAGCGCCGGCUAACUACGUG